UCUCUCUGUUGGGGCUACUAAUGGAGUAAUCUCCAGAAUCUAUUUAAGGGAUAUUCGGAGAUUAGCUGAAUCCUACUCAAGAACAAAUUGACAGAUUUUCCCUCUAAAAACAAAAAAUUUCAGUUCAAAAACUUCAAUGCAUUAAAAGGAAAUUCAGAGAAUCAAAACAAAGUUGAAUGCAUAUGUUGAGGGGGAGAAUCUGAAUUUUUAAGAAAGCUAAAUCAUUAAAUAUAUAUAAGCCAAACAAUUGAUUGCAUGAUAUGAAGGCUUAUAUAAUUCCAAAUGAAAGGGGGAGCUUUAAUUCCAAAAUUUAUUGUUUCACACCUUUCAAGCUUGGAUAAAUUAAAUAACCAGACACUUGAAUUCAUUUAUGGAUUUUAUUUCCUUGUUUGUUGAGCAAUUCACUUUACAUAUACUCAAUGCUUUGUCAUCAUCAAAAAGGGAGAGAUUGUGGAGUGAUUGAUCAUAACCCUAUUUGAUUUUGAUGAGCUCAAAGCAUCUGAGUAUAUCUCUUGUUUACUAAUGAAUUUAAUUGAGUGUUUCAGUGAAAAUCUUG
rnacentral:lncRNA from 1 species